GAUGAAGAACGCAGCGAAAUGCGAUAAGUAAUGUGAAUUGCAGAAUUCAGUGAAUCAUCGAGUCUUUGAACGCACAUUGCGCCCCCUGGUAUUCCGGGGGGCAUGCCUGUCCGAGCGUCAUUGCUGCCCUCAAGCACGGCUUGUGUGUUGGGCCCCGUCCUCCGAUCCCGGGGGACGGGCCCGAAAGGCAGCGGCGGCACCGCGUCCGGUCCUCGAGCGUAUGGGGCUUUGUCACCCGCUCUGUAGGCCCGGCCGGCGCUUGCCGAUCAACCCAAAUUUUUAUCCAGGUUGACCUCGGAUCAGGUAGGGAUACCCGCUGAACUUAAGCAUAUCAAUAAGCGGAGGA
rnacentral:misc_RNA from 1 species